UCCCAGCUGGCUAAGUGGUAAAGAAGUUGCCUGCCAAGCAGAAGACAUAGGUUUGACCCAUGGGCUGGGAA
rnacentral:tRNA from 1 species